ensembl:lncRNA
CUUCAAACAACCAGGUGAGAUGAGUAUAAUCAUGUGAUGAGGGAACUGAAAUUGAGAGAUGUAAACACUUUACACGAAUCUUAUGGCAUGGGAGUGGCCCUGCUGGGACUUGAGAGAAUGUGUGUUCUGUCAGCAGCUAAGAGCACAGAUCUGGGUGCUGAUCAAGACCCCGAAGCAGGCCUGAGAAAACGCAGAACUGAGAAUGUAAACUUCACGAAGGAAAAUUUUGUUCACUGCUGUGUGCCUAGAAAGGACAGUUCCAGACACUGAGAGAAAGAUAAAUAAAUAUUUGUGGAGUGAAUGAAAAAUUGAAUGAAAAGAUGACUGCCAGACCUCUGAGCACGAGCUGUUCCUGACAUCGUUUCUGUCAAUUUCCUAGAGACCCAGGAUCCAGUCACGAGUCCCUCAUGGGGCUGGAUCAGGAGACAUCACCAUGCAUUUGUCAGAGUCCAUUAUGCCCCCUGCUGAAGAAGGCUGUGAUCUUCAGUCGACCUCUUUGUGUCCACUGUCCUCUUCACUUCCAGUGAACGUAUCCCGGAUGAUCCUCAGUCUGUCUUGCAAAUAGACUUGGACAUGUCCCUUCAGAUCGGCAGACAGGCCUGACUCCAGCAGUGUGUUGGGCUUGAGCUCAAAGCUGGGACACAAACGAUGCUUAUAUUGAGCUGAAAACAAUCACUCUGCAUUUAUUACCCCAAAGCCCUUCUUAUACUCCCCAGGACUACACAGAACAAGCAUAAUUCCCUUCUAACAUGUCCACCUAACAAGACUGAAGCCAGCUCUCUUUUCCUGCUCCCCUUAAAACUAUUUUCUAGGUAAAGCACGCUCAGGACUUUCUACCAUUCUUCAGAUGACACGUUUCAUGUUUUUUCAUCGUUUGGGCCCCUUUCCUCUUAAUAUGCUCUGGCCUGUCUGUGACCUUCUAAACAUGUGAGGUCAAAGAGACUAUCUGCCUGGCCAGGAAAGAUUGGAGUAGACUAUCACCUCUUUUAUUCUGCCUACUAUGCAUUUUGUGGUAGUAUAACACACGAUUCUUUAAUAUUGGAUUUACUGUUAAGCCAUAGCUCUACAAAUAACUGAGAAGAAGUUCAGAAUUGAGAAGUCAUUAUUUAAUAAUCAAAGAUGUGAUGAAAAAUAACCAUACUGAUUUUGUUCUUCACCCAAGAAGAGUGUCUGCCUCGUUGUUUAUUGGAGUCUUAAAUGAGAUGUCUCCAGUGAAGAUGGCUGGACUUUGGAGAGGUGCGGCAGCAGAGAUCCUUGGAGCAUCUGCCUGAAUUGACAAUGGAUAUAGAACAACCUACACAGACUUGCAGAACGUCUAUGUCCAAUCAUUGGGACCAUUAAAAAUACUUAGAGAGAGGAUCCUGUAAAAGAUUGAACAUCAUGUUCAAGUGGAAUGAGAGACUUUGGUUACUGUUAUUUGGGGAAGUAAAGGGAAGACCCGUGAACACUGGAGUCUUUGUAAUGUGCUUAAUAAAAGGACAGAAAAAAUGAUUCACCUCAGGAGUACAAAACAACCAUUUCCAAAAUUAUUAAUCUCACCAUUUAGUUUCAUUUGGCAACCUCAGAAUGCUCAAUGCAAUACUUGAGUUGUAGCAGGUGUUUCUGUAAGUGAGCUUUUUAUAGAAUCAUGAAAUAACAAUGCUUUACUCCCUUAAUGGGUUCAAGUUCUGGGUGGAGAUAACGAGUCGAUGUUUGAUAGUUACCAGGGCCAAGUGCAGAUCAAGAAUUGCCUUAAAAAAUACAAUUCAGUAGGAAAAAGGAAAUGUUUAAUUUUCAAAUGUCUUUUAAAUUGGAAAAUAAGCUUUUCAGUUAAAAGAAAUAUAAGCACUUUGGUGAAUCCUACAGCAAUUUUUGGUACUAAUCCUUUCUUAUUGUAGACAUUUUCAAGCAUUAGUGCCGAAUGUUUCCAUUCUUCAGGCUGCACUAAUGAAGACUUCUAGGUAAGAGUCUUAGAGCACUGUGGGUUUAUGAGUAAGAAACAAUGAAAAAAAAGAAAACUCAAAAUAGUGGUUUUCAAUUUUAUUUUAAAUUAAAUGAAUUGUUUUUAAUUAAGUGACUUUUAGAACCAGUAGUCUCCUUUUUAAUCUGAUUUCCAAGGUAUUCAUGUUAAUUGAACCAGGUCAUUAUUUUCAAAUGUUUCUUAAAAAUUACUUUUUCUCAUAGAACAGAUGAAUAUUUUUUCUAAAAUGAUAAUAUAAUUU